rnacentral:rRNA from 1 species
UACGUAGGUGGCAAGCGUUGUCCGGAUUUAUUGGGUUUAAAGGGUGCGUAGGCGGCCCUGUAAGUCAGUGCUGAAAUAUCCCAGCUUAACUGGGAGGGUGGCAUUGAUACUGCGGGGCUAGAGUACAGAUGAGGUAGGCGGAAUUGACGGCGUAGCGGUGAAAUGCUUAGAUAUCGUCAAGAACACCUAUAGCGAAGGCAGCUUACUAGGCUGUAACUGACGCUGAGGCACGAAAGUGUGGGGAUCAAACAGG